UGGAUAGCUCAGACGGUUAGAGCAAUGGACUUUUCAUCCAUGUGUCGCGGGUUCGAAUCCCGCUCCAA
rnacentral:tRNA from 1 species